rnacentral:rRNA from 2 species
GCUUGGUGGUGAGAGUGGCGAACGGGUGAGUAAUGCGUGACCGACCUGCCCCAUACACCGGAAUAGCUCCUGGAAACGGGUGGUAAUGCCGGAUGCUCCGACUCCUCGCAUGGGGUGUCGGGAAAGAUUUCAUCGGUAUGGGAUGGGGUCGCGUCCUAUCAGGUAGUCGGCGGGGUAACGGCCCACCGAGCCUACGACGGGUAGCCGGCCUGAGAGGGCGACCGGCCACAUUGGGACUGAGAUACGGCCCAGACUCCUACGGGAGGCAGCAGUGGGGAAUAUUGCACAAUGGGCGCAAGCCUGAUGCAGCGACGCCGCGUGCGGGAUGACGGCCUUCGGGUUGUAAACCGCUUUUGAUCGGGAGCAAGCCUUCGGGUGAGUGUACCUUUCGAAUAAGCACCGGCUAACUACGUGCCAGCAGCCGCGGUAAUACGUAGGGUGCAAGCGUUAUCCGGAAUUAUUGGGCGUAAAGGGCUCGUAGGCGGUUCGUCGCGUCCGGUGUGAAAGUCCAUCGCUUAACGGUGGAUCUGCGCCGGGUACGGGCGGGCUGGAGUGCGGUAGGGGAGACUGGAAUUCCCGGUGUAACGGUGGAAUGUGUAGAUAUCGGGAAGAACACCAAUGGCGAAGUCAGGUCUCUGGGCCGUUACUGACGCUGAGGAGCGAAAGCGUGGGGAGCGAACAGGAUUAGAUACCCUGGUAGUCCACGCCGUAAACGGUGGAUGCUGGUUGUGGGGCCCGUUCCACGGGUUCCGUGUCGGACCUAACGCGUUAAGCAUCCCGCCUGGGGAGUACGGCCGCAAGGCUAAAACUCAAAGAAAUUGACGGGGGCCCGCACAAGCGGCGGAGCAUGCGGAUUAAUUCGAUGCAACGCGAAGAACCUUACCUGGGCUUGACAUGUUCCCGACAGCCGUAGAGAUAUGGCCUCCCUUCGGGGCGGGUUCACAGGUGGUGCAUGGUCGUCGUCAGCUCGUGUCGUGAGAUGUUGGGUUAAGUCCCGCAACGAGCGCAACCCUCGCCCUGUGUUGCCAGCACGUCAUGGUGGGAACUCACGGGGGACCGCCGGGGUCAACUCGGAGGAAGGUGGGGAUGACGUCAGAUCAUCAUGCCCCUUACGUCCAGGGCUUCACGCAUGCUACAAUGGCCGGUACAACGGGAUGCGACACGGCGACGUGGAGCGGAUCCCUGAAAACCGGUCUCAGUUCGGAUUGGAGUCUGCAACCCGACUCCAUGAAGGCGGAGUCGCUAGUAAUCGCGGAUCAGCAACGCCGCGGUGAAUGCGU